AGGGGAAUAUUGCACAAUGGAGGGAACUCUGAUGCAGCGACGCCGCGUGAACGAAGAAGGCUUUCGAGUCGUAAAGUUCUUUUAUAUGGGAAGAUAAUGACGGUACCAUAAGAAAAAGACCCGGCUAACUACGUGCCAGCAGCCGCGGUAAUACGUAGGGGGCUAGCGUUGUCCGGAAUCACUGGGCGUAAAGGGUUCGCAGGCGGAAAUGCAAGUCAGGUGUAAAAGGCAGUAGCUUAACUACUGUAAGCAUUUGAAACUGCAUAUCUUGAGAAGAGUAGAGGUAAGUGGAAUUUUUAGUGUAGCGGUGAAAUGCGUAGAUAUUAAAAAGAAUACCGGUGGCGAAGGAGACUUACUGGGCUCAUUCUGACGCUGAGGAACGAAAGCGUGGGUAGCAAACAGG
rnacentral:rRNA from 1 species